CCUGUCCCUGUAAGUGUUGCAGGCAUGGUUGUUGUGUCACAUGUGCAUCAGGUGACAGAGGAGAGAGGCUAUGUCUACACUUAGUGUUCUGACUUAUGUACAUCUGAAUGCUUAGUACCCUACAUU
rnacentral:snoRNA from 1 species